UACAGAGGUGGCAAGCGUUGUUCGGAAUUACUGGGCGUAAAGGGCGCGUAGGCGGUUCGUCAAGUCCUGUGUGAAAUCCCCCGGCUCAACUGGGGAACUGCACAGGAAACUAGCGGGCUUGAGUUCGGGAGAGGGAAGCGGAAUUCCGGGUGUAGCGGUGAAAUGCGCAGAUAUCAGGAGGAACACCGGUGGCGAAGGCGGAUCUCUGGGCCUGUCCUGACGCUGAGGCGCGAAAGCUAGGGGAGCGAACAGG
rnacentral:rRNA from 1 species